rnacentral:rRNA from 1 species
GCAGUCGAACGGCAGCGCGGGGCAACCUGGCGGCGAGUGGCGAACGGGUGAGUAAUAUAUCGGAACGUACCCAAGAGUGGGGGAUAACGUAGCGAAAGUUACGCUAAUACCGCAUACGAUCCAAGGAUGAAAGCAGGGGAUCUUCGGACCUUGUGCUCCUGGAGCGGCCGAUAUCUGAUUAGCUAGUUGGUGAGGUAAAGGCUCACCAAGGCCACGAUCAGUAGCUGGUCUGAGAGGACGACCAGCCACACUGGAACUGAGACACGGUCCAGACUCCUACGGGAGGCAGCAGUGGGGAAUUUUGGACAAUGGGCGAAAGCCUGAUCCAGCAAUGCCGCGUGAGUGAAGAAGGCCUUCGGGUUGUAAAGCUCUUUUGUCAGGGAAGAAACGGUGAGGGCUAAUAUCCUUCGCUAAUGACGGUACCUGAAGAAUAAGCACCGGCUAACUACGUGCCAGCAGCCGCGGUAAUACGUAGGGUGCAAGCGUUAAUCGGAAUUACUGGGCGUAAAGCGUGCGCAGGCGGUUUUGUAAGUCUGACGUGAAAUCCCCGGGCUCAACCUGGGAAUUGCGUUGGAGACUGCAAGGCUAGAAUCUGGCAGAGGGGGGUAGAAUUCCACGUGUAGCAGUGAAAUGCGUAGAGAUGUGGAGGAACACCGAUGGCGAAGGCAGCCCCCUGGGUCAAGAUUGACGCUCAUGCACGAAAGCGUGGGGAGCAAACAGGAUUAGAUACCCUGGUAGUCCACGCCCUAAACGAUGUCUACUAGUUGUCGGGUUUUAAUUAACUUGGUAACGCAGCUAACGCGUGAAGUAGACCGCCUGGGGAGUACGGUCGCAAGAUUAAAACUCAAAGGAAUUGACGGGGACCCGCACAAGCGGUGGAUGAUGUGGAUUAAUUCGAUGCAACGCGAAAAACCUUACCUACCCUUGACAUGUACGGAAGACCGAAGAGAUUUGGUUGUGCUCGAAAGAGAACCGUAACACA